rnacentral:rRNA from 1 species
ACUCAAAGGAAUAGACGGGGACCCGCACAAGCGGUGGAGCAUGUGGUUUAAUUCGAGGCAACGCGAAGAACCUUACCAGGCCUUGACAUGGGGAGUUUGGGAUACAGAAACGUAUCCCUUCAGUUUGGCUGGCUCCCACACAGGUGCUGCAUGGCUGUCGUCAGCUCGUGUCGUGAGAUGUUGGGUUAAGUCCCGCAACGAGCGCAACCCUCACUCUUAGUUGCCACCAGGUUAUGCUGGGCACUCUAAGGGAACUGCCGGUGAUAAGCCGGAGGAAGGUGGGGAUGACGUCAAGUCUUCAUGGCCCUUACGGCCUGGGCUACACACGUGCUACAAUGGUGGUGACAGAGAGCUGCAACCCUGCAAGGGGUAGCUAAUCUCCAAAAGCCAUCUCAGUUCGGAUUGCACUCUGCAACUCGAGUGCAUGAAGCUGGAAUCGCUAGUAAUCGCGCAUCAGCUCGGCGCGGUGAAUACGUUCCCGGGUCUUGUACACACCGCCCGU